rnacentral:ncRNA from 1 species
AAGGUUAGCACUCCCCUUGACAAGGAUGGAAGAGGCCCUCGGGCCUGACAACAUGCAUACAGUUAAGGCAUUGCCACCUACUUUGUGGCAUCUAACCACUGUUUUUU